GCCACUGCCCCCCCGCCCCACUCUCCCCUGUCUGUGUUCCCGGCUGUUCAGUCCAUAAAUGGGGCCCACAGCCUCCCGGAAACCCUGUGCAGGACUCGGAGAGAUCUCAGACACCCCUCCUUGAGAUGUUCCACAGUAACUGUGGCUGCAGCCCAGGGAGAUGCUGGAGGGCACUGUCCACCCUGAUGGUGGCAUGGGAGGGAGUGGCAUUCCAGGCAGAAGGAGCAGCCUCUGGGUUUGGGGGUCCUCUGGCAGCCAGGUAAGAAGGCUGGGUAAGAAAGUGAGGGCCUGGCUGGAGUGGCCCCAGCCCUGGCACAGAGAUGCAGAGUCUGGUGCUGGGCGGGAGAGCUGUGUGCAGAGGGCGGGGUGGGCAGGCGUUAAUGGAGGCCCGCCUGGGCCUUUGAUGAGGGCAGCGCCCGCCUGCCUGCCUGGCUAGGGGUUAAUUAGCCUUAAUCAAGGUGACACCUCCUUCCUCCACCCUCUCCCUCAGGCCUAGAAGGGAAGAAAGGGAGGGAGGAAGGCGGACAGGCGCUGAGAGGACCCACCCUAGCUGAACACAUAGCCUCUGUCACCCCUGCCACCACAGCCAGGGUUCCAGCGGGUCACCCACCACCCACCUUGGGGGUGAGGAAUGCCAACUGACCCAGGACACAGGGGUGAGGUGCUCAGCCAGGGAGGAGCAGAUGGAUGCCUUGCCCCAGCUUCAUCCCCUUAGCUGGGUCCCAUGCCCCUCAAGGCUCGGGGAGGGGGGUGCCUCCUCCUGAAAGCCCUCCUAGAUUGAUGUUUCCUCUGAGCUGCUCCAGCCCAGCCCAAGUGUAGGUAAGAGGCUCAUCUGUUUUCUUUGCUGGACUCUGAGUGCUGGGCAGGCACCAGGUCCCACUCAUCGCCGAGUUGGGGAUCCUAGGGUAGUGUCCUACGCAGGUGAGCACCUCACCAGUGGUUUGUUGGAUGAACAAGUGUAGCAUGUGCCUGUUGUAGAGGGGCUCUUGGCCUAAGGGAGAGGCAGGCAGGAGCUGACACGCAGGGGACAGGAGGGGACGGGCUCAUGCUGGCCCAGCAGGGCUCCGGCUUCACAGCUGGGGAGUAUGGGCUCUAACCCCAACCCACACCUCUGGCUCCAAACUUUGCAUCCUUAGUAAGCAGGUUGCCCUGUGAAGGAUGUGCAGCACAGGGCUGUCGGGGUGGGGAUGUGCCAGCCAGAGGUCCCAGCUCCCACAAAUGCCGGCCAGUGUGAAAAAUCCUAGUGUCUUCAAAGAACCACCAGGAAGUCAGUCUGGCCCAGAUCGGGGGGCAGUGGUCAUUCAUGCACUCACCAAAUGCUUAGUAAGCACCUACUAUAUGCUGGGAGACACAGCAAUGAACUAAAGAGAUGAGGCUCCUGCUCUCCUGGUGCUUCCAUCGGGAGGGGAAGACAGGCAGUAAACAAGUAGACACCCAGGUAAAUGUGCAUGUAGUGACUGGGACAGGUGCUUUGAAGGAGAGACAAGAGGGAGCUCCAUGGCGGAGCUCCAAGGGCUGGCUCCGCAGAGACCCCAGGGCAGGGAAGGAGCAGACAGCACUUAGAGUCAGGAGCUGCACCUGCAGGAUCCAGGGAGCCACCAAAGGGCUUGGAGCAGGGCAGGACUGGCCAGGUCACUGGUGGUGUGGACCAGAGUCCAGGGAGGAGGCUGGAGCUGGGGUAGCAGGGGAAAGAUUAGAGAGCAAAUCUUAGUGACCAGGGGAGGUGGGAGAGAGCUGAAGAGCCUCCCACGACGACCGCUGCCUGCCUUCCACUCGCCUGCAGGCUGGUCAUAGUGGCACUCAUCGGCGUGAGUGUGGCCUGGAUCCCCGUCCUGCAGGACUCCAACAGUGGGCAACUCUUCAUCUACAUGCAGUCAGUGACCAGCUCCCUGGCCCCACCAGUGACUGCAGUCUUUGUCCUGGGCGUCUUCUGGCGACGUGCCAACGAGCAGGGGGCCUUCUGGGGCCU
rnacentral:sRNA from 1 species